AUUGAACGCUGGCGGCAGGCCUAACACAUGCAAGUCGAGCGGAUGAAGGGAGCUUGCUCCUGGAUUCAGCGGCGGACGGGUGAGUAAUGCCUAGGAAUCUGCCUGGUAGUGGGGGAUAACGUCCGGAAACGGGCGCUAAUACCGCAUACGUCCUGAGGGAGAAAGUGGGGGAUCUUCGGACCUCACGCUAUCAGAUGAGCCUAGGUCGGAUUAGCUAGUUGGUGGGGUAAAGGCCUACCAAGGCGACGAUCCGUAACUGGUCUGAGAGGAUGAUCAGUCACACGGGAACUGAGACACGGUCCAGACUCCUACGGGAGGCAGCAGUGGGGAAUAUUGGACAAUGGGCGAAAGCAUGAUCCAGCCAUGCCGCGUGUGUGAAGAAGGUCUUCGGAUUGUAAAGCACUUUAAGUUGGGAGGAAGGGCAGUAAGUUAAUACCUUGCUGUUUUGACGGUACCAACAGAAUAAGCACCGGCUAACUUCGUG
rnacentral:rRNA from 1 species